CCUGCCUGUGAUAUGGUUCAGCCAUCUAUCCAUUUGAAUAUUGGAGACAGUCAUCUGAGAUAAUUUACAAAUUUAUGAACUAUGGACAUAUUGUAGUAUUGACUAGAGGAGCCUGAAAUUGAAGGGGGACCCUGAAACUCUCUCUCUAAAACUCCUUCAAGGAAAAAGUCUCCUUGAAUUCUGGCCUCUGUAAAAAACACUCACCUGAGGGAAACAGGAUAAAUAGAUUCAUUCUGUUAUCCUGAGAGAGGGGAACCACUCCAUUCAUAAUACUCACUACUGAUUAAACUCCCUAUUGAGGUGAAGAUUAGCCCAGAGACACUCAUUCAAUUCCAAGAUUCUCUAUUCUGAUUCCAGCUCACACUGUACCCAGCCCCCAUCAAGAGCUGCUAGCCUAGGCUGCUCUUAUAAAAAGAGCCAACUUGGGGCUUGCUUCUUGCAGAGAACCUAACAUGCCAUACCAUACCAUGCUAUGCCAAGGAACCUCUCUCCCUCUUUGGCAUAGCAAUAACCCUAUGCCCAUUGAAAUGAUAUUCUCCUUCAGCAUUACCUCUUCUUUAUCUCUUUCUCACCCAUUUCCCUAACAAGACUUUAUACCUCUGUGUCAGGAUUUCUCUGCUAGAAACUUUACUUCUCUGUCAGGACCUUGCCACCCAGGCAUUCAGGCUUUCUAUUCAUGCAUAGCAAAGGCUGACUUCCCAAUGCCAACACAAUAAACUUCUUUUACCAGUCUGCUUUUCAGGUUUGUAAAACCAAAAGGGGUUCCUGCAACUCCCUGCCCUGCACCAAAUCCUAGGGGAACCUAGAGGGGCCAAACCUCUUCAUUUGGUUCCCUGAACCCUGAACCUGCCACUAACCUUAUCAGUAUCUCUGUUAACACUUAUAAUAAGUGGCUAUAGUAAAUGGAACACAUGAGGUAUUCCUUCAUCUCAUACUAAUCCCGUUAGUUAUGAAAAUAUAUACCAGAUUUAGUUGCUAGAAAUCCGUGUUACUCUUGGAGAUAGCAGAUUCACUUAAGUGGUGCAAACAGAAGCCAGACUGCAUACAAUUGACAACUCAGAGGUGUCAGUAGUUAACAAAGACAGGAUCUAGCUGAAAUUAGUUAACCAACUUGCCAUGGAUAGCAAGCAUAUUUAUAAGGAAGUGCUAUUUGGAAGCACUGGAGUAGAAGUAGAGGUGGAGGAUAGUUAAAAGAUUCAUGGUUGGAGUUUGGGGAGCUGCAAAAAAAUGAUGGAGAAGAAAUUCAGGAGAGAGUUUAAGCUACAGAUAUGAAGGAAGAUGAGGCAAGAAAAGUGAGAUUGAGAAGAGGUAGAGGAAUCACUUGGAGAAAAAAUGAAAGAACAGAUUUCUGAGGUGAAAUGCAAAGAUGGAAGGACAUGAGUUUGUGACCAAUGAACUGGAGGGUUCUUCACUAAUUCAGGUGAUAUGGAAAAUGGCAAGAUUUAAGGUAUUGUGUCACUGUUCCCUUUUAUUGUCCUGCUCAGUUUCCCUAAAUUCUCAAGAUAAGGGGGAGUUUGGACGUACUGAUGAGGUUAGUGGCAGGUUCAGGGUUCAGAAAACCAAAUGAAGAGGUUUGGCCCCUCUAGGUUCCCCUAGGAUUUGGUGCAGGGCAGGGAGUUGCAGGAACCCCUUCUGGUGGCACAGGGGGUUCUUCAUAAAGGAAUUUACAAACCUGAAAAGCAGAUUGGUAAAAGAAGUUUAUUGUUGGCAUUGGGAAGUCAGCCUUUGCUAUGCAUGAAUAGAAAGACUGAAUUCCUUGGUGGCAAGGUCCGACAGAGAAGUAAAGUUUCUAGCAGAGAAAUCCUGACACAGAGGUAUAAAGUCUUGUUAGGGAAAUAGGUGAGAAAGAGAUAAAGAGGGGGUAAUGCUGAGAAUAUCAUUUCAAUGGGCAGAGGGUUGCUGCUAUGCCAAGGGGAGAGAAGUUCCUUGGCAUAGCAUGGCAUGGCAUGUUAGGUCCUCUGCAAGGAGCAAGCCCCAAAUUGGCUCAUUUUAUAAUAGAAGCCUAGGCUGGCAGCUCUUGAUGGGGGCUGGGUACAGUGUGAGCUGGAAUCAGAAUAGAGAAUCUGGCGUAUUCAAUUCCAAAAGUGUUUCUGGACUAAUCUUCACCUCAAUAGGGAGCUUAAUUAGAGUGAGUGUUAUGAAUGGAGAUGAUUCUUUUCUCUCAGGAUAACAGAAUGAAGCUGUUUAUCCUGUUUCCCUCAGGUGAGUGUCUUUUACAGAGGCCAGAAUUCAAGGACACCUUCUCUUUGAAUCAGUUUCAGAGAGUUUUGGGGACCCCCCUUCAGUUUCAGUCUCCCCUCAUCAAUACUGGCUCCCAAGUCCUCCUAAGUUAUUAAGAAUUUAUGGUCCUAUCUGCCAACCUUUCAGAACAGAAUUGAUGGUCCCUUCUCUAAAA
rnacentral:lncRNA from 1 species